CAAUAGCGUAUAUUAAAGUUGUUGCAGUUAAAAAGCUCGUAGUUGGAUUUCUGGCCGAGUGUCCCUAGGCCAGCAUGACGUUUGGUCCUAGGCGCUCUGCCAUCCUUCUGUCAACCUUCGCCUUCUUCAUUGGGGGCGCUGGGGCUCAGAUAUUUUACCUUGAGAAAAUUAGAGUGUUUCAGGCAGGCUUUCGCCGGAAUACAUUAGCAUGGAAUAAUGGAAAAGGACUUCAACCUCUUCUGUUGGUCUGAGAGGCUGUAGUAAUGAUUAAUAGGGAUAUUGGGGGCAUUAGUACUUAACUGUCAGAGGUGAAAUUCUCCGAUUUGUUAAAGACUAACUUAUGCGAAAGCAUUUGCCAAGGGAUGUUUUUCAUUUAAGUACUACGAAACGGAAAACGUUAAAAGGGGUUAAGGGGUACUAAACGGAAACGGAACGUACUACGAAGUAACCUAACCGUUCCUUGGAAGGAACCUUGGCCC
rnacentral:rRNA from 1 species